CUGUUAAUGGGAAGAAAUCUGCUUGUUUAGGUUGUUUAGACAUCGUUGCAUUACAUAAUACAGCCGAUUCUCCAUAACGAACCAUAACCGCCCCAUUAGCUUGUUUUGCGAGCUGACCAACUUCAAUUUGUAAAGGUCGUCCUGCCCAUUCAUAGGUAAAAACCUUUUUUUCGUCCAUGUAUUGAACUCCUCUCUUAAAAAGAAAACCUAAUGACAUAUAUAUUUAUGUUAUGUAGUUACUUGUAGUUUAUCAAAAAUUAUUAUGCAUUG
rnacentral:antisense_RNA from 1 species